rnacentral:rRNA from 1 species
CGAACGGGUGAGUAACGCGUGAGGAACCUGCCUCAAAGAGGGGGACAACAGUUGGAAACGACUGCUAAUACCGCAUAAGCCCACGGCUCGGCAUCGAGCAGAGGGAAAAGGAGUGAUCCGCUUUGAGAUGGCCUCGCGUCCGAUUAGCUGGUUGGUGAGGUAACGGCCCACCAAGGCGACGAUCAGUAGCCGACCUGAGAGGGUGACCGGCCACAUUGGGACUGAGACACGGUCCAAACUCCUACGGGAGGCAGCAUG